CAGCAGCCGCGGUAAUACGAAGGGUGCAAGCGUUAAUCGGAAUUACUGGGCGUAAAGCGUGCGUAGGCGGUUUGUUAAGUCUGCUGUGAAAUCCCCGGGCUCAACCUGGGAAUGGCAUUGGAUACUGGCAAGCUAGAGUGUGUCAGAGGAUGGUGGAAUUCCCGGUGUAGCGGUGAAAUGCGUAGAGAUCGGGAGGAACAUCAGUGGCGAAGGCGGCCAUCUGGGACAACACUGACGCUGAGGCACGAAAGCGUGGGGAGCAAACAGGAUUAGAUACCCCAGUAGUCCCUGUCUCUUAUAC
rnacentral:rRNA from 1 species